GAUGAACGCUGGCGGCGUGCCUAAUACAUGCAAGUCGAGCGAACAGACGAGGAGCUUGCUCCUCUGACGUUAGCGGCGGACGGGUGAGUAACACGUGGAUAACCUACCUAUAAGACUGGGAUAACUUCGGGAAACCGGAGCUAAUACCGGAUAAUAUAUUGAACCGCAUGGUUCAAUAGUGAAAGACGGUUUUGCUGUCACUUAUAGAUGGAUCCGCGCCGCAUUAGCUAGUUGGUAAGGUAACGGCUUACCAAGGCAACGAUGCGUAGCCGACCUGAGAGGAGGACCGGCCACACUGGAACUGAGACACGGCCCAGACUCCUACGGGAGGCAGCAGUGGGGAAUUUUGGACAAUGGGGGAAACCCUGACCCAGCCACGCCGCGUGCGGGAAGAAGGCCUUCGGAUCGUAAACCGCUUUUAUUGGGGAAGAAAACAUCUGUGCUAAUAUCCCCGGGUGAUGACGGUACCGGAAGAAAAAGCACCGGCUAACUACGUG
rnacentral:rRNA from 1 species